UAAAUUGUAGUUCAUUACUAUUUUAUCGAUCAAAGACGUUGAGCUCGUUGCUAAGGUAUAUGUGAAAUAUUUUCAAGCAUUUUUCAUUUUUAUCUAUUAUUUAUUUAUGUUUUUAAUUAUAUAUUUAUACAUUUAUUUUUGUGGGCUUGCAGCCCAAAAUUUGUGAACCCAUUAAUAGCCCAAGAUUAGGAGAUCAAUAGGAGAAAUUGGGACGUGUGUGUAGCAGUUUGCGAACUGAAACAUUCUCCAUUUUCCCAAAAAUUCUGCUGUAUCAAAUCUUCCCUCUUCCCCAAAAAUUCUGCAGUAUCAAAUUUCAUAUUGUCUCUAAAUCUUGGCAAUUCAGCCUAUAAGCAACCUCCCUCCACCUCCAUUUAAGUAUACCCUUCAACCACAAAUAUUUUCCAUCCACAUGCUCCCAUCUCUGCAGCUGCGAACAAACACAGCAACAUAUUCAAGAAGAACUCUGCACCAGGCUUUGAGGAUCAGGAGGUUUAGCAUUGCUUUCCCGUGACAGGUUUACGAUUAAACUACAGGCUUUGCCUAUUCAGGUUGAUCAGUUGGUGCAGACGAGGCUGAGCUGAGGCUAGGGGUCCACGAUGCCUUUUGCUUCCGCUAAUAACUAUCUUGUCACCUCAUCCUCCAUCCCCUAAAUUGAGAAUUUCUAUUGUGUGGUAUAAUAUUAUCUUGUUGGGCUUAGACUCUUAACCCAUAUUUCUAUUAAUGGAGCUAUCAUUGAUUAUGAUCAGAGUCACGAAACUAAACCUAUGCGAUCCUGAGUUCGAAUAUUGUCAUUUGAUUAGCAUCUCUUAAUGCCUUUCAUUUUAUCUCCUUUCAUCUUAUCUCUUUAGAUAUGCAUACCCGAUUUAAUGGGUAAAUUAUAAAUUUUAUUCAGCUCAA